rnacentral:rRNA from 1 species
CCCAAUUGAUUGAUGGUGCUUGCACCUGAUUGCUUUUGGUCGCCAACGAGUGGCGGACGGGUGAGUAACACCUAGGUAACCUGCCCAGAAGCGGGGGACAACAUUUGGAAACAGAUGCUAAUACCGCAUAACAACGUUGUUCGCAUGAACAACGCUUAAAAGAUGGCUUCUCGCUAUCACUUCUGGAUGGACCUGCGGUGCAUUAGCUUGUUGGUGGGGUAACGGCCUACCAAGGCGAUGAUGCAUAGCCGAGUUGAGAGACUGAUCGGCCACAAUGGGACUGAGACACGGCCCAUACUCCUACGGGAGGCAGCAGUAGGGAAUCUUCCACAAUGGGCGCAAGCCUGAUGGAGCAACACCGCGUGAGUGAAGAAGGGCUUCGGCUCGUAAAGCUCUGUUGUUAAAGAAGAACACGUAUGAGAGUAACUGUUCAUACGUUGACGGUAUUUAACCAGAAAGUCACGGCUAACUACGUGCCAGCAGCCGCGGUAAUACGUAGGUGGCAAGCGUUAUCCGGAUUUAUUGGGCGUAAAGAGAGUGCAGGCGGUUUUCUAAGUCUGAUGUGAAAGCCUUCGGCUUAACCGGAGAAGUGCAUCGGAAACUGGAUAACUUGAGUGCGGAAGAGGGUAGUGGAACUCCAUGUGUAGCGGUGGAAUGCGUAGAUAUAUGGAAGAACACCAGUGGCGAAGGCGGCUACCUGGUCUGCAACUGACGCUGAGACUCGAAAGCAUGGGUAGCGAACAGGAUU